ACAGCAGCAGCCGCGGUAAUACAGAGGGUGCGAGCGUUAAUCGGAUUUACUGGGCGUAAAGCGUGCGUAGGCGGCUAAUUGAGUCGGAUGUGAAAUCCCCGAGCUUAACUUGGGAAUUGCAUUCGAUACUGGUUAGCUAGAGUGUGGGAGAGGAUGGUAGAAUUCCAGGUGUAGCGGUGAAAUGCGUAGAGAUCUGGAGGAAUACCGAUGGCGAAGGCAGCCAUCUGGCCUAACACUGACGCUGAGGUACGAAAGCAUGGGGAGCAAACAGGAUUAGAGACCCGAGUAGUCCCUGUCUCUUAUAC
rnacentral:rRNA from 1 species